rnacentral:lncRNA from 1 species
CCCGUAACUCAGAAGCUCUUUUAGAUCCCCCCAAAUCAAACGUUCAAGCGGACCCCCCUAUGUCGGAAGCUCCUGUUAAUGUGGGCCCCCCUUUGUCAGAAGCUCCUGUUAAUGUGAAUCCCCCUAAAUCAGAAGCUCGUUUAGAUACCUCCAAAUCAAAAGCUCGUGUGAAACCCCCUAAAUCAGUGGAUCCCCCUAAAUCAAAAGGUCUUGCCAAUUCCCAUCAACCAGACGAUCAAAUUGUAGAUUGGCCUUCUGUCAGGCACUUGUGGUUAGACGAGAAUUAAAUGUUAGCUGCUGCUCUGCUUGUUUGAUGUGUAUUGUUCAUACUUUGGGGACUUCUUUGUACAUAUAUAAGUGGUUUUGCAGACUAAGAAAGAAGCAAGCCAGCUUCGAAUUGGAUAACUUGUGUCACAGUGAGUUUUUGUUGUAUUUGUGUAAAUUAUAUCAGACCUGAUGAUUAAGGGUUCGCAGCCCUAGCUCAUUGAAAUGUUGUUCUCAUAUUUCAGGAAGGCAUUUCUAAUUCUCAUUUUGCAUCUCUCAGUUUUUCUAUUGUUUCCUCUUUUUUGAGCAGUAGGAAAAUUCUAUGAUAUUAGCUCUCUCUCACUUCGAUAAAUACAGCUUGCUGAAGGAAGAAAUUUUGAGUAAUCUUGUGGUCUGACUCGAAUUAAGAAGUUGAGCCAUGGUGCAGCAUCCCAGGCAUCAUUCUAAAUUUAAUGGCUCCAUCAAGAUGCCAACUGGCAGUCUCAAGGAUCUGCAUGCAGCAGAAGCACUGAAUCAAAUGUAAAGAAUACCUCCGGAAAAGAAAAAAACAAAAGGCAAGUGUGGGACGAAAAUUUUAGAGACUAUUCAGACAAAAAAAAUAAAAAUGGAAAACUAGUUUUCUAGAUUUCUAAACUAGUAAAACACAUUUUAGAGAUUCUCUACCGUUUACCUUUACUGGUUUUCCAUAAUUCUCCAAACAAAGAAAAAACAUUAAUAAUUUAUGUCAGGAAGUGUUAUAAAUAUAAAAUAUCAGAUAUAUAGCGACAAGAUAAAUACACCUCCAAUACUUUGUGUUCAAUAUAACCUUAUAUUGGCCUUUUGAUACGUGGAGGUUGAAUGUUCAAGAUAAAUACACACCACAUUAUAGUUAGAGCUUCUACGGAUGCAACUCCUUACUCAAUGGUAUAUAUAUGAGAUGCAGGUUCAACUUUUUUCAUUUUUCAUUUAGCAAUGUAAAAGAUUAUAUAUAUAUAUAUAUAUAUUUAGUUAAUAUUAUAAAUUUAUUUUUACAAGUUAACAAUAUAGUUUUUCAGUGAUAAGUUUUUACAUGAUCAUAUUUAGUUAGCCCUUUUUUAUGGAGUUAAAUUUGAAGGUCAGAAGGCUCAGUUCCCUUGUGUUGAUGGGAUUUCUAAUUGUUUUGUUCCAUUGACAGAAGCUGAAUAAAUGAACCUGCACGCGAAUCUUGGUUAAAACGAGACUGCCGAACCAGUCAGCAGUGUGCCUUUCAAUGCCGUGAUACAGGACGAAGAAAAGGUUUUAGAUAAACGAAAACUUUAUCAGGGAACAAAGUUAUUAAUCCUUUGUGAUUUCCACUGCAUUCAUCAAAGCUUGCCAAGAUAUUUGACUGUCAAUCUUCUGGCACACAAGUUGCAGAGAGAAUUAAAUACAAAAUGAAUCCUCAAGUUCCCAGAGUGCACUAUAUAAGCACCACCCCACUCUUACUUUUUGAAACAGAAGAGUGAUAGUUGACACAAAAUCUUUCACUUUCACUGUUAAAAAGCAAUACAACGAGCUAGGCCAAGAUGUCUGGAUCCAACAAGUCUUCGGGUAUACCGGUGGUGGUGAUGCAAGCAAAGCUCCUGCAAUUGGGGCUCCUGUCACUGGUUCUGUCACUGUCUCAGAAAAAGAUGGGACCAUGAAAGCUCCUGGUCAAGACGUUCGCAUACCUAGGGAUGCUUUUGAGAAGAACCCUUCUGGAUAUUUUCAUGACUUGCACAAGAAGUAGAAGAUGUGGAGUCUGUCUUUAAGUCAAAAGAAUAAAUAAAAUGUUGCUAUGGUUGUUCUUUCUUUCAAUGCUAAUGAAAUUUAAAAUGCUGCACUAGCAGCACUUAUUUCUACUGCUUUAUCUUCUCUUUUAUCUGUUCUUUAUGACCAUUUAAAGUAUGAUUUCAGAAAUCAUCUUGUUCACAUAGCUUUUCUUAAGUCAACAUGCAUAUAUUUAUGAUAUCUCCUUAACUCUACUUAAAAGAAAAAUAAUUCUUCAGAGCUUGUACUGAAACAAGUAAGCAGACCAUAUACUAGUGUUUCACUGUGUGCUAUUUCUCUGUGCUCGUCUGCUGGCGGAAUUUGUUUACUUUGCCAAGCUGCCUUUCUUUAUUAGUACUGUUCUUAUUCUUACCAAGAAUUCACCAUUAAAAGAACUAGCAGUAAAAGAAUCACCGGUAUGGCAAUGAAGAAAACUAGGUGGUAUCAUAGAGUAUCAUGCUAGCAUGUAAGGAAUCCUGACAAAUGAGGUAUAAUAUGAUGAAAACCAGGUGGUAUCAUAUAGAUUGAUUAUGAAAUUAAAAUUUCAUUACAGAGUUUAAAGGAAGCACAUUCAAAAUAUGAUCCAGAUGCAUGUCUUGAUUACAGUUUAUCCAGAUGAGAAAAAAUCCAGAGUCAAAAUACUGGGAUAUAUAGCGUUGGAUUUGCAUACCCAAGAAUCAUUCUAAAAUAUCUUCACGAAAGAUGUCACCUGGGAAUCAAGCAUCUUCACGCAGCAGAAGCACCGAAUCAAAAGAAAAGAGCAACUGUGGAAUGAAAAUUUAGGGACGUCCGUUCAGAGAUCGAGUAAUGCUUUAAUUUCUUAGAAAACUAAAGUAAGAUUUAUAUUGAGUGUGAAAAAUAAUUUAAAAGUUCUUCACCGUUUUUCUAUAUAAGUUUUCUACUGUUUUUCAAAUAAAGAAAAUAUAUGAACAAUACAGUUUUUUUCUUCUUCUUUUAUAUAUAAGAACCUUUUUAUAAUAUAAGAGAUUAAAAUUAUAUUUUUUAUAUUUCAUAUUUAAUUAGUGCCGGGAAUUCAAUUAUAUUAUAAAUGUUAUAUAAAGAUAUUGACAACUGUGAAUGAAACUAUAAAUUCAGAUAUUGACAAGUUUUCUAAAAAACUUUUUCUUUGCAAGUUUUCUACUGUUACAAUAAUACACACACAAGUAACCUUUCUCAAAGUAAAAAAUUAAAAUUAUUUUUUAUAUAUUUCAUAUUGAAUUGGUGUCGGGAAUUUAAAUAUAUUAUAAAAUAUAAAUGUAAUAUAAAGAUUUGUUUUUUUGAGUUAACGAUUGGAGUUCUGGUGGUUUUUUUUCCAGUAACUUAAAACUGAAAUAAAUGAACCUGCACGCGAAUCUUGGUUAAAACGAGACUGCCGAACCAGUCAGCAGUGUGCCUUUCAAUGCCGUGAUACAGGACGAAGAAAAGGUUUUAGAUAAACGAAAACUUUAUCAGGGAACAAAGUUAUUAAUCCUUUGUGAUUUCCACUGCAUUCAUCAAAGCUUGCCAAGAUAUUUGACUGUCAAUCUUCUGGCACACGAGUUGCAGAGAGAAUUAAAUACAAAAUGAAUCCUCAAGUUCCCAGAGUGCACUAUAUAAGCACCACCCCACUCUUACUUUUUGAAACAGAAGAGUGAUAGUUGACACAAAAUCUUUCACUUUCACUGUUAAAAAGCAAUACAACGAGCUAGGCCAAGAUGUCUGGAUCCAACAAGUCUUCGGGUAUACCCGGUGGUGGUGAUGCAAGCAAAGCUCCUGCAAUUGGGGCUCCUGUCACUGGUUCUGUCACUGUCUCAGAAAAAGAUGGGACCAUGAAAGCUCCUGGUCAAGACGUUCGCAUACCUAGGGAUGCUUUUGAGAAGAACCCUUCUGGAUAUUUUCAUGACUUGCACAAGAAGUAGAAGAUGUGGAGUCUGUCUUUAAGUCAAAAGAAUAAAUAAAAUGUUGCUAUGGUUGUUCUUUCUUUCAAUGCUAAUGAAAUUUAAAAUGCUGCACUAGCAGCACUUAUUUCUACUGCUUUAUCUUCUCUUUUAUCUGUUCUUUAUGACCAUUUAAAGUAUGAUUUCAGAAAUCAUCUUGUUCACAUAGCUUUUCUUAAGUCAACAUGCAUAUAUUUAUGAUAUCUCCUUCACUCUACUUAAAAGAAAAAUAAUUCUUCAGAGCUUGUACUGAAACAAGUAAGCAGACCAUAUACUAGUGUUUCACGGUGUGCUAUUUCUCUGUGCUCGUCUGCUGGCGGAAUUGUUUACUUUGCCAAGCUGCCUUUCUUUAUUAGUACUGUUCUUAUUCUUACCAAGAAUUCACCAUUAAAAGAACUAGCAGUAAAAGAAUCACCGGUAUGGCAAUGAAGAAAACUAUGUGGUAUCAUAGAGUAUCAUGCUAGCAUGCAAGGAAUCCUGACAAAUGAGGUAUAAUAUGGUGAAAACCAGGUGGUAUCAUAUAGAUUGAUUAUGAAAUUAAAAUUUCAUUACAGAGUUUAAAGGAAGCACAUUCAAAAUAUGAUCCAGAUGCAUGUCUUGAUUACAGUUUAUCCGGAUGAGAAAAAAUCCAGAGUCAAAAGACGGGGAUAUAUAGCGUAGGAUUUCCAUACCCAAGCAUCAUUCUAAAAUAUCUUCACGAAAGAUGUCACCUGGGAGUCAAGCAUCUUCACGCAGCAGAAGCACCGAAUCAAAAGAAAAGAGCAACUGUGGAAUGAAAAUUUAGGGACGUCCGUUCAGAGAUUGAGUAAUGCUCUAAUUUCUUAGAAAACUAAAGUAAGAUUUAUAUCGAGUUGGAAAAAUAAUUUAAAAAUUUUUCACCGUUUUUCUUUACAAGUUUUCUACUGUUUUUCAAAUAAAGAAAAUAUAUGAACAAUACAGUUUCUUCUUCUUCUUUUAUAUAUAAGAACCUUUUAAUAAUAUAAGAGAUUAAAAUUAUAUUUUUUAUAUUUCAUAUUUAAUUAGUGCCGGGAAUUCAAUUAUAUUAUAAAUGUGAUAUAAAGAUAAUAUUGACAACUGUGAAUGAAACUAUAAAUUCAGAUAUUGACAUUUUAGAAAAACUGAAGUUCAGAUAAUGAAAUACUAAAACAUAAUGUUCAGAAUAUAAUAUUUUUUAAUCUCAAAUUUUUUUUCCUUGUAAGUUUUCUACUGUUACAAUAAUACACACACACACAAGUACCUUUUCUCAAAGUAAAAAAUUAAAAUUAUUUUUUAUAUAUUUCAUAUUGAAUUGGUGUCGGGAAUUUAAUUAUAUUAUAAAUUAUAAAUGUAAUAUAAAGAUUUGUUUUUUUGAGUUAACGAUUGGAGUUCUGGUUGUUUUUUUUCCAUUAACUUAAACUGAAAUAAAUGAACCUGCAUGCAAAUCUUGGAUAAAACGAGACGGCCGCACCAGUCACCAGCGUGCCUCUCAAUGCCAUGAUACAGGACGAAGAAAAGGUUUUCGAUAAACGAAAACUUUAUCAGGGAACAAAGUUAUUAAUCCUUUGUGAUUUCCACUGCAUUCAUCAAAGCUUGCCAAGAUAUUUGACUGUCAAUCUUCUGGCACACAAGUUCCAGAGAGAAUUAAAUACAAAAUGAAUCCUCAAGUUCCCAGAGUGCACUAUAUAAGCACCACCCCACUCUUACUUUUUGAAACAGAAGAGUGAUACUUGACACAAAAUCUUUCACUUUCACUGUUAAAAAGCAAUACAACGAGGCCAAGAUGUCUGGAUCCAACAAGUCUUCGGGUAUACCUGGUGGUGGUGAUGCAAGCAAAGCUCCUGCAAUCGGGGCUCCUGUCACUGGUUCUGUCACUGUCUCAGAAAAAGAUGGGACCAUGAAGGCUCCUGGUCAAGACGCUCGCAUACCUAGGGAUGCUUUUGAGAAAAACCCUUCUGGAUAUUUUCAUGAUUUGCACAAGAAGUAGAAGAUGUGGAGUCUGUCUUUAAGUCAAAAGAAUAAAUAAAAUGUUGCUAUGGUUGUUCUUUCUUUCAAUGUAAUUAAUGAGAUUUAAAAUGCUGCACUAGCAGCACUUAUUUCUAGUGCUUUAUCUUUUCCUUUAUCUUCUUCUUUAUGAACAUUAUUAUUACUGCAAUCAUCAUGUUUACAUAGCUUUUCUGAAGAAUCUGUUGGAUGUUAUUUCUCUGUGCUCGCAUGCUAAGAAUCUAUGUAGUUUCUAUGUCAGUGAUCAUUUCUUUAGCCAACCCUGCCUUCCUUGAUCAAUGUUUUUCUACCAAGCAUUCAUUAUAGAAAAAAAAAAAAACUUGCUGUUAAUUAACGAAUAUAUAUACCAGUUUGGCGCCUAUGAAAAUUGAGUGAAUCAAAACUAGAAAUAUAUAUAUUUACAUUUCGUACUCUCAGGUCUAAGUCUAAUGAUUCUGCAACAUGGUACAGCAGAAUUGAAACAUCUCUCAUGGCGUACGUAAAUUGUUGGGUUAUCCGAUAUCUGUUGUGUGAUGUAAUGAAAUAAUUGGUUUUGAUUGUGAUAAAAAAAAAAAAUUAAGUAAUUUUUGUUCGUAAAUAUAUUAAAAUAAUAUUUUUUUUUUAUAAAAAAUUAUUUUUGAUAUGAACACAUUAAAAUUAUUCAAAAACUCAAAAAAAAAAUUUAAUUAAAAAUUAAAAUAAAUUUAAAAAAUAAUUAUAUCACAUUAUCAAACAACACCAAGAAAAUAUGAGGCAAAAAUUCAGUAACAACUAAGUUUUAAUAUCAUAAUCAAGUUUCUCCACUUGUUUAUUGUUUUUUAUAUUUAAUUAGAUUCAUAAAUUUUUAUAUUUAAUUAUUUAAUUAGUUUUUUAAAAAUUAAAUUAUCCAUAACAUCAUAAUAUAAGCUAUACUUAUUUAGCAAAGAUUGUAGCAUGUCCAUGCAUGUCACCUAGAUAUUCAAAACAUGUAAUGACUUUUCUCCAGUUACAGGCUACAUGACAAGGAAGGCAGAAAGACGACAAUGAUUCAUGUUUGAUCAUUUAGUAAUAAUCUAAACGUUUUAUGACUAUUCUAGUAGCUUAUUUGGGAAUUUUAAGGUUGUAUGAUCCUACUUAGAUCUUAAGUAUUAUUUGGCAAAAUGAAUAUUUAAUUCUCACUUGACCAUCCACUCGAAAAUCCAAUUCUGUAUCAAAGACAUUAUUUAUUAUUUGAAGUAUUUGGGGUUCUGAAUUUAUUGAUAUUUAUAUUUUAUUUACUAUUUACUAGAUAAAAAAAUUAGAUAUUCAUAAAAUAUUCUUUAUAUUUAGGAUAUCCGUUAUUUAUUAAUCAAUAAAAAAUAAAAUAAUUAAUAUAUAUCUUUGAAGUAUGUAUAUGUAUAUUAAAUGAUAAAUAUUAUUUAUGUGUAUUUUAUAUCAAUAUUAAAACAUGUAUAUAUAAUAUUGUAUUAAAAAAAUCUAAAUAUUUAAUAAAUAUAUUUAUUUAAUAUAAAUAUAUAUAUUUCAGUUUAUGCUCGAGCAAAUUUCAGAUCGAAUUAAUAAUAUUUAUAUUCUAUCUAAUACUUAUUGAGUCCAAAAAAAUAAUUAUUUAUUUAACUUGAGUUAACUUAAUACCCAUUAAAUUCAAAUUAAAUUGUCAUUCAACAAUCUCAGUACAUAGAUUCUCAUAGAUAUUUUAGUUGUGAGAAAUGUAAAAAUCUGUAAAUUGAAGAUAAAAUAGGAAAGAUAAUUUUUUUUUCCCAUGUAGUUUAAGCCUCUCCUUGUAUAACUCUCUCUUCUUUAUUCUUGCAAUCGCCAUCAUAUCAAUCUACAUACCGCCCUUGCUUAUUCAACACCCCCCUAUACUAAAAGCUCAUGAUCCUCAAUCAGACGCUCUGGUAGACACCCCCUUGUCAGAAGCUCCUGUUAACGUGGAUCCCCGUAACUCAGAAGCUCUUUUAGAUCCCCCCAAAUCAAACGUUCAAGUGGACCCCCCUAAAUCAGAAGCUCUUGCAGAAUCCCCCCGAUCAAAAGUUCAUGCUGAUCCCCCUAUGUCAGAAGUUCCUGUUAAUGUGGCCCCCCCUUUGUCAGAAGCUCCUGUUAAUGUGGAUCCCCCUAAAUCAGAAGCUCGUUUAGAUACCUCCAAAUCAAAAGCUCGUGUGGAUCCCCCUAAAUCAAAAGCUCGCGUUGAUCCCCCUAAAUCAAAAGGUCUUGCCAAUUCCCAUC